GGGUUUGCAGAACAUUUGCAGAAACAGUUGUGUUCUAUUUCACCUAAAUCCUUGAUGAUCAAAAAUAUACGGUAACAUGCGGUCCUGUCUUACAAGCAGGGGGUCGCUGGUUCAAAUCCAGCACCGCCCA
rnacentral:tRNA from 1 species